GCCAAAUAACUACGAGUAAAGACUUAAAAUUUAAAAGACUUGACGGUACCUCACAACACCCUAGAGGAGCCUGUCUAAUAACCGAUACUCCACGAUCAACCCAACCCCCACUUGCCCAACAGUCUAUAUACCGCCGUCGCCAGCCUACCUUGUGAAAGAAACAAAGUAAGCAAAAUAACCACACGCUAAAACGACAGGUCGAGGUGUAACUCAUGUGGGGGACAAAGAUGGGCUACAUUUUCUAACACAGAAAAUACGAAUAAACUAUGAAAAAGAAACUGAAGGCGGAUUUAGCAGUAUACGAAGAACAUAAUACUUACUAGAAACUAAG
rnacentral:rRNA from 1 species